rnacentral:rRNA from 1 species
UCCGGUUGAUCCUGCCGGACCCCACUGCUAUCGGGGUGAGGCUAAGCCAUGCAAGUCGAAGGUCCCCAGCUUCCGGGGGCCUGGCAGACGGCUCAGUAACACGUGGCCAACCUACCCUAGGGAGGUAGAUAACCCCUGGGAAACUGGGGUUAAACUACCAUAGGAGGCGGGAUCUGGAAAGACCUGCCUCUGAAAGUGGUGUACAGGGAUGCCUGUACACCAGCCCUAGGAUGGGGCUGCGGCCCAUCAUGGUUGUUGGUGGGGUAACGGCCCACCAAGCCUAUAACGGGUACGGGCCCUGAGAGGGGGAGCCCGGAGAUGGACUCUGAGACAAGAGUCCAGGCCCUACGGGGCGCAGCAGGCGCGAAAACUCCCCAAUGCCCGAAAGGGUGAGGGGGUCACCUCGAGUGCCACCCUCGUGGUGGCUUUUGCGGGGUCUAAAAAGCCCCGCGAAUAAGGGGAGGGCAAGACGGGUGUCAGCCGCCGCGGUAAUACCCGCUCCCCGAGUGGUGGGGACUAUUACUGGGCUUAAAGCACCCGUAGCCGGCCGGAUGUGUCUCCCGUUAAAUCCACGGGCCUAACCCGUGGGCUGCGGGAGAUACUAUCCCGGCUUGGGGGUGGGAGAGGGCGGCGGUAUUCCCGGGGUAGGGGUAAAAUCCACUGAUCCCGGGAGGACCACCGGUGGCGAAGGCGGCCGCCCAGAACACGCCCGACGGUGAGGGGUGAAAGCUGGGGGAGCAAACGGGAUUAGAUACCCCGGUAGUCCCAGCUGUAAACGAUGCGGGCUAGGUGUCGGGUGGGCUACGGGCUCACCCGGUGCCGAAGGGAAACCAUUAAGCCCGCCGCCUGGGGAGUACGGCCGCAAGGCUGAAACUUAAAGGAAUUGGCGGGGGAGCACCACAAGGGGUGGACGUUGCGGCUUAAUUGGAGUCAACGCCGGG